ACCCGCUGAAUUUAAGCAUAUCACUAAGCGGAGGAAAAGAAACUAACCAGGAUUCCCCUAGUAACGGCGAGUGAAGAGGGAAUAGCCCAGCACCGAAGCCUGCGGUAGGUUUACUGCUAGGCAAUGUGGUGUUUGGGUCGGCUCGUGGGAUUGCCACUUCAUUCGAAGUCCAGCAUUGAGUAUGGUUACCUGGAUUUGGCCCAGAGAGGGUGAAAGGCCCGUGCGAAUGAAGGCUCAGACAAGUAAGGCAAUUCACCAGGUCGGCCUUCGAGUCGGGUUGUUUGGGAAUGCAGCCCAAAGUGGGUGGUAAACUCCAUCCAAGGCUAAAUACUAGCACGAAUCCGAUAGCGAACAAGUACCGUGAGGGAAAGUUGAAAAGUACUUUGAAAAGAGAGUAAACAGCACGUGAAACCGCGUAGAGGUAAACGGGUGGCGUCAAGCUGCAAGCCCGAAGGAUUCAGUCGACAAGGAUGUAGUGAUGUGCCUGGCGCAUCCAUCGGUCGGAGUAAGACUCAGCAGUCCACUGACUAAAGGUGGGCCUGGCCUCGGUCGGGUUUGUGUGCCGGUCGGUUGCCGGAGCAUGCUGCUGGUCCGUUGGACCGUCUUGUCGGUGCACUUCCUUCGUGGCGAACACCACGACCGGUGGCAUUGCCAGUCUGCUAUAGCCAAGUCGUAUAUGGCCAGUCCUCGUGGCUGGCUGUGUGCGAUCACAGGCAAGAUCGGUGCCCGGCGUAGGUCUGCCUCCGGGCAGGUCUGCGUGCUAUCGUUCAUCGCUUGUCAACGGGUCGGACUGCGGUUGUUGUAUCUGCCGCGGAUCGGCCCGGUGGGCUAUGGUGGUACGAAUAACUGUGCAAGGCAUCGGGGUUUGCGGUCUCAAAUGCAGCCUGCAUCCACGGUACAAGUGGUAUGACUGUGACGGCACUGCGGCCUGCCUAUCCCUGGGUCUGAUUGUCGUGUUGCCAGCGCAAAGCCGGUCCGGCAGUGGCUCGAGGUAGGAUGGAGUCGUGGGUGUCGUCGCGUGUGCAGGCUGUGGUGGGCCUAAUAGUCUGUGGUGUAGUGGUAGACCAGCCACCCGACCCGUCUUGAAACACGGACCAAGGAGUUUAACAUGUGUGCAAGUCAAGGGGUCCUACGAAACCCAAAGGCGCAGUGAAAGUGAAUGCUGAGGUGAGAUCCUGUCGUUUCUCGCACAUGUCAGCACCUGGCAUAGAGCGACGGGCGCAUCACCGGCCCGUCCCAUGAUGUGGUCACUGGAUGUCUGCAGGGCGUGCUCGCAUGCCAUGCAGUGCCGUGCGUCAUCGGGGCGGAGCAAGAGCAUACAUGUUGAGACCCGAAAGAUGGUGAACUAUGCUUGCGUAGGUUGAAGCCAGAGGAAACUCUGGUGGAAGACCGCAGCGAUUCUGACGUGCAAAUCGAUCGUCAAACGUGAGUAUAGGGGCGAAAGACUAAUCGAACCAUCUAGUAGCUGGUUCCCUCCGAAGUUUCCCUCAGGAUAGC
rnacentral:rRNA from 1 species